GAUGAACGCUGGCGGCGUGCCUAAUACAUGCAAGUCGAGCGAACAGAUGAGGAGCUUGCUCCUCUGACGUUAGCGGCGGACGGGUGAGUAACACGUGGAUAACCUACCUAUAAGACUGGGAUAACUUCGGGAAACCGGAGCUAAUACCGGAUAAUAUAUUGAACCGCAUGGUUCAAUAGUGAAAGACGGUUUUGCUGUCACUUAUAGAUGGAUCCGCGCCGCAUUAGCUAGUUGGUAAGGUAACGGCUUACCAAGGCAACGAUGCGUAGCCGACCUGAGAGGGUGAUCGGCCACACGGGAACUGAGACACGGUCCAGACUCCUACGGGAGGCAGCAGUAGGGAAUCUUCCGCAAUGGGCGAAAGCCUGACGGAGCAACGCCGCGUGAGUGAUGAAGGUCUUCGGAUCGUAAAACUCUGUUAUUAGGGAAGAACAAAUGUGUAAGUAACUAUGCACGUCUUGACGGGACCUAAUCAGAAAGCCACGGCGAACUACGG
rnacentral:rRNA from 1 species